rfam:Eubacterium sp. 3_1_31 genomic scaffold supercont1.1, whole genome shotgun sequence.
GCGGGCGUGGUGAAAUUGGCAGACACGCUAGACUUAGGAUCUAGUGCUUCGCGCGUGCAGGUUCAAGUCCUGUCGCCCGCA